rnacentral:rRNA from 1 species
CACUAUUAGAUUUAUCACUAAAAGCUACGCCUGCUCAAUGUCCAAUAAAUAGCCGCGUAUUCGUGCUAAGGUAGCAUAAUAAAUAGUCUAUUAAUUAUAGAAUAGAAUGAACGGCCCAACGAAAAUUAAUCUGUUUCAUACACCCCGCUAAAAAUCCAGACUUAAGUAAAAACUCUUAUAUAUACCUGAAAGACGACAAGACCCUAAUGAACUUCACUAUAGUUUAACUGGGGCGGUUAUCAACAAAAUCUUGUCUACCCAACCCUCAAAUUCCUAAUCAAUAUAUCUAUCACAGUUACCAUAGGGAUAACAGCAUAAUUUUUGUUAAAAGCUCUUAUUAAAACAAAAGAUUAUGACCUCGAUGUUGAAUAAUACACCUAUUAUUUAUAAGCAGAAAUAUAACAAGAGAGUCUGUUCGACUUUUAAACUAUUACA